CACGGCACAUUACUCACUCGCGACUCUGACCCCCAAGACUCUUACAUCAUCAAGUCCGCUAGGUCCAAUUAUUUAAGUCCGCUCGUGCUCGCCAACGCCUUCCUCGUGGCCGGCGCGCUGGCCAUGCCGUCUUCGGUUUCUGUUUGAUGUGCUCGCGCGCCGUGCAGAUCUCCAUCAACGUCGGCCUCCUUCUCGGGUACCUGUCGAACUGCGCCUUAGCCGACCUGCCGGCGCGCCUCGGCUGGCGCGUCGUGUACGCCGCCGGCGUGCUGCCACCAGCGCUCAUCGCUGCGGGGGUCGGGCUGCAGUUCUUCCAGGAAGCGUCGGGCAUCGAGGGCCGACGCCAUCGUGCUGUGCAACCCGCUGGUGUUUAAGCAGGCCGGCGUGUCGUCGAACAACGCCGUCCAGGGCGCCACCGCCGCCGUCGGGGCGGUCAAGACGCUCUCCAUCCUCGUGGCCGCGUUCCUCUCCAGCCGCCCGCUCUUGCUGGCCAGCACGGCAGCCCCGGCGGCGUCGCGGUGACGACGGCCUCGCUGGCGGUGUCCCUCCCCUUCGGCGCCACGCCGGCAUGCCUCGCGUCCGUGCUGGCCUUCAUCGUGGCGUUCUCCGUCGGGCUCGGGCCGCGCGGAGGUCAUGCCGUUGCGGCAGGGGUUUUCCGCAAAAAUACGAAUGCGUAUUUUGCAGAAAAAAUCCUAAUUUGAAUCGUGAUUAAUAGUUACGAUCCGAUUCGGAGGGUCAUACCAAAAAACCGGGAUGUGUAUUCGUACAAAACCUCCUAAUUUAGAUCGCGAUUACGAUUUAGGGGGUUAUUUGCAAAGUUGCAUUUUGUAAAAGGCCCCCUCAUUCGAUUCUCCAUGGCGGACUGAAGCAGAGGCCGCCGGCAAGCGGCGGCGGCGGACGGGAUGGGGGAAUUAUGCAACGCCAGAGAAUCUGAAGACUCGGAGGUGAAGGCGAUGGGCGAGGAGACGGGCGCCGCUUCCGCCGGAUCUCGAGGGUGCUCCACUCCCGCUUGGUUCCAUGAUCGGCGGCAUCUUCCUGUGCGGAGCGAGGCCGCGGGGCGUCCGAGGAUUGCGAGACCAGGUGGUUGGUUUCGGUUUACGGUAGGAAAUUGCCGAUGGGUUGCUGGGAACAGGAUUGCUGGCGAGUUGCCGGAUCAAUGGAUUUUGGCUUUCGUUAGUGCUGUAUCAGUCUCAGUUCUUCUGCCAUGUGUGUUUUUUAGUCAAUUGCAGGAUAUGAAAAGCAAAGAUGGGCCUGCACCUGUAGCUCGGUAUCCAGAUUUAGGGUGAUUAUUUUCUCAGCCUGAUUUCACUGUUGGCUGUUGCUUCGCAAAGGGACUUUCUUCUUCUAGCAUGCUGCAGAAGGAAUCCUGAAUCCUCCACAGCCUUCUUUGGCUGUACUGCAGAUGACAUAAGGAAGAUGUUCUUUUUCCCUUCUACCUCAUGUGGCAACUGAAUGGAAUCUACUGAAACAUUUGCUGAUUGUUUGGCAUUCCAUAUGUAAAGUAGCCAUCAGAUUGACUAUGGGUAUUCGUAUAUGCUGAAUGGUGGCUUUUGUAUGGACAAACUACUUCAAGGCGCCUUGCUGACAGGAAGACUGCAAAGUUCCAGAAGAACAUCACCAAGAGGGGUUCAGUGCCUGAAACUACUAUCAAGAAGGGGAAUGACUACCCUGUUGGACCUGUAGUGCUUGGCUGUUUCAUCUUUGUCGUCAUUAGAUCAUAUAUGCUUUCCAACCUUCCCUAAAUCUUUCUUCCUGUUCAGAUUGUUCUAUGCUGGUGACAUGUUGAUUUAGAAUGCACACUUCCAUGCUGUUUUCGUCUAAAAAUAUUGAUAUGGUUCAUCCAUCGGUUUAACUUCUAACCUCCAUGACCAUAACUCUAGACUCUUCUGUGUUCAUCCAUAGUACAUGUAAACAUUCUAAGGAUAGAUUUUUUUUAAGUUCUCUUUCAAUUCUUGUUAGUGGUUAUGCUGCACUAGAUAUAUGUUUUUGACACUACUCUUUAGCCAUAGCUUAUUACUGCUGUUGUUCUGUAUGUUACUGUUACUCCUUUAGUAUGCUCAACUUGACUAGUCAUCUAUUUUUUUCAAUGUUAGAAAUAAGAAGCAUACCGCAAAAACUUUAACUUGAUUGGUUUUGAAAAUAUGAUAGGGACUUAUUUGUCUAAUCUAGUGUGUGAGGCACUUAGUACUUGCUGGCAGUAACUCAUGAGAAUGGAACUACACUGUUAAGACUAUAUGUAAAAUGCCAAGCCACCUACUUGUAACUCGAACACUGAACAUAUACUAAGUGUAAUGCCAAAUUGUCAACCACCAACUCUAAAACAGCACAUCUAUCCCACAAUUUUAUCAAUUUGCUGCUUUGUUGUGCCAUUUCUGUGCUUACCCAUCUGAUGCCUACAGUUUGUUUACUGUUGGAAAUGAACUAACAUGCUUCGCUGCCUUUUCCUUUGCAGCGUUGAUUCAUAUAAUCAGGACGGCAGCCAGCGGCGGGAUGGCGUAAGAAUUGGACAGCAGCUAAAUUGUCCAGUGUUGUCAUUGUUCUCCUGUAUGCAUUUUGUCCCGUGAGUGUUGAGUCUGAAAUUGGCGUCUGAAGAACUGCAGAAUCAUGUAGCUGAAAGUGUUUUUCUGAACCAGAAUAGCUGAAAGUGUGUAAUUUGAUAGUACAAUGUAUUAAUGUUUCAUUCAGUCUCUUCAGGAUCGUUUUUUCUUCCUGCA